AACGCACCUCGCGCCUCUUGGUAUUCCGAGAGGCAUGCCUGUUUGAGUGUCUUAUAAACUCAAUCGCCAUGGAUCUCUUUGACCCAUCGGUCGACUUGGAUCUGGGCGUCUGCCGGUCAACACGGGCUCGCCUUAAAGAUGUUAGUGGGACUUGCUGCCUAUGGCCUGACGUGAUAAGUUUCGUCUGACCCGGUGGCUAAUGCCUGCUCACAGGACCCGCCUUAGGGCAAUCUACUUUGUGCCAGACCUCAAAUCAGGUAGGACUUACCCGCUGAACUUAA
rnacentral:misc_RNA from 1 species